AACGAACGCUGGCGGCAGGCUUAACACAUGCAAGUCGAGCGAGAUCUUCGGGUCUAGCGGCGGACGGGUGAGCAACGCGUGGGAACGUGCCCUUUGCUACGGAAUAGCCCCGGGAAACUGGGAGUAAUACCGUAUGUGCCCUUCGGGGGAAAGAUUUAUCGGCAAAGGAUCGGCCCGCGUUGGAUUGGGUAGUUGGUGGGGUAAUGGCCCACCAAGCCGACGAUCCAUAGCUGGUUUGAGAGGAUGAUCAGCCACACUGGGACUGAGAAACGGCCCAGACUCCUACGGGAGGCAGCAGUGGGGAAUCUUAGACAAUGGGGGCAACCCUGAUCUAGCCAUGCCGCGUGAGUGAUGAAGGCCUUAGGGUUGUAAAGCUCUUUCAGCUGGGAAGAUAAUGACGGUACCAGCAGAAGAAGCCCCGGCUAACUCCGUGCCAGCAGCCGCCGUAACAC
rnacentral:rRNA from 1 species